ACUGUAUAUAUAUACAGUAUGUAUAUACACACAUUUUAGGAGUACAUGACAUUGGUGUAAACAAGAUUUCAUAAAAUAUGUUGAUAUUGCUUGACAUUUACUAUGCCCCACUUCAAAACGGACCUCAGAGGAAAAGUGAAGGAGUUUUGGUUAUGAAGGGGCGGGGCUGUUUUCACACCCCAAAACGUCACAGUUACGUUGCAGGAAACGAGUUUCUACAGCUACCCUCCCCCACAUCACACUCGCUGACCAUCAAUUAGGAAACGCGCGCUUUGCUACCUGCACAAAAGGAAGGCGUUGAGAAGAGUGAGCGUACGAGUCAGCAUCAUCGAGAAAACCCCAGAAAGUGACAAAUACUUCAGAAUUAAAGCAGAUGGACAAUCCCACUGAAGAUGGUGAUUAUUCUGACUCAAGUCUUUUUGGAUCAGAUGAGGAAUACAAACCAACUAAGACAUCCUCUGAGUCGAGUGAUGACGAGGAGAUAUUCCAUCCAAAGGUAGAAAAAUUGUUCUCUUAUGAUACAUCCAGUGAAGACUCUACAAGUCAUCAGACAUAUGAAGCAGAGGAGCACAGUCAUGUCUGCAAUUCGUAAAGAAGGUAGUAACCCAUUAACCUAUGUAAAAACAAAAGAUGAGCAAAGAAGAUCCUUCUUUAACCAUAAAAGCAUUUACAAAAAGGGAAGGCAAACGAGUUUGGCACAGAAGUCAUUAUUGCUUCUACUGUGGCCAAUCAAAUUUAAAGAUGGCAAGGCAAUUGGAAAGGAAACAUAAGGAAUCACAAAAUAAAUUCUGUGGGGGGGUUUGUGAACACAUAACAAAGGAACAAACUACACAAUCAACUCUGAGAUGGUCCAGUCUCCUACAAAAGGAAAGAUGACAGAAGUACAAACGAGCACGAAAGCAACACAUUCUACCCGUAUGUAAUCAACUCUUUUCACGCGUAGCAAGUCUACUCCUGUAGCGUUCACACGUCCCAUUUAAUAUCGGUGCUGCCCCGCAUACUAGCAUUUACUCCAGAGUAAAUGUUUAAACCACCUCCUGAGCAGGGUUACAUUUGCUCCGUUUUAAGCUGUUUUCAGGGGCUACACUGGUGUAACUUUGUACGUGGCAACGCUCGACAUGGGGGCAGUCGGCUUUUGGGGUGGGGGGGGGGCAGAACGGAUGAAUGGACAUGUCAAGAGUUUUAAUUUCUCCAUAUUUUGUUCCGGUCAGUUGUCACGCAGUAUGAGGAACAUAUAUAAAUUAUAUUUAAUCCUUGUGUAUUUUUAGCCGUUAUAAAUCAAAUGUUUCUUGGGGGAAAUAAUGCGGCGUAAAUUCACUCUAGCACCUAAAGCACUAUGAAAUGACAUACAACAAAAAUUUCUACUGUACAAUAUUACACGAUCGAUUACAGCAUUGUUUUGGGUAUUUUUGUAUUUAGAUUCAUGUUCUUACCAUUUCAUUUAUCAAAUGCAUUGCCCACACUGGACAAUGUAAUCUAUCAAUAUAAAAGUUGUUUUUCGAAACCCCUGCUAUUCGCGUUCAAUAGAGACCAGGCUCGUUCACUGGAAUGCACUUGAAGGGGGAAGAUAAUUUAUGGAUGAUGGUUAUUUUGAAUCAGGAAUCAGUAUUUUAUUUCUGCCAAAUAUUUGCAUUGGUCUAACAAAAUUUAAUUAUGUCGGUUGGUUCACACUGACUAGCAUGAAAUCAUACAAGAUGUUCUUGUAACAUACCUUUCAAAUGUUAUAUGUUGCCCAGUAAAUCUUCUCUAUUCUUAAUGGAAGCACGAACUUGUAUUUAAUACAUAAUACAAUGAUUUGCAUGUCAUGUUCAACCUCUAUUUAAUUGGCUACACUACUAUGUUGGAAUUGAUGGCUGCAACACGUUCCAAACAAGCUGGGACAAGGUGGUUUUGGAUGCAGUGCUCUCUGAUAGGUCGAAGGUCAUGGCCUUUGAAUGUUAUCUGUUUUUGGCCUUGCCGCUUACAUGCACUGAUUGGUCCAGAUUCUCUGAACCUUUUGAUAUUAUGGACCAAAGAUGACGUAAUCCCUCAAUUCCUUGCAAUUAUACGUUGUGAAACUCUGUCCUUCAACGAUUCAACUUGUGGUGACCCUCACCCAAUCUUUGCUUGUGAAUUCAGGAUAGCUACUUUUUGACCCAAUCAUGGCACCCACCCAUUCACAGUUAGCCUGUUCACCGGUGGGAUGUGACAAACAGGGGUUUGAUGAGCAUUUCUCAACAUUAUUUUUUUUGCUAGCUGUUCCAUCUUUUAUGGAAUGCAUUACAGCCAUUAAAUUCUAAGUUAAAUAUUAUUGGAAAAAAUUAAAUGUACCAAUUUGAACAUUGAAUGUUGUCUUGUCUUUGUAAUGCUUCACUUAAAUAUAGGUUGGACAUGAUUUGCAAAUCAUUGUAUUCUGUUUUGAUUGAUGAGCAUAAUGUCCCAAUUUCACUGGAAUUGGGUUACUAAAUGAAUGCCUUGAUAGCAUAUUUUUGUUCAACACUGAUUUAGUAAAAUGUGUCACUUUGUUCUCCUUUUCAUGUGGUGGUAUCGACCUUUAACCCCAAAAAGGGAAAAGCAUCUCUCCAAAAGAGGGAAGACUGAAUUGGAUGAUUCGAGUCCAGGCGGGGACCCUGGCGGUCCGAUCCUUGGCUGCAGAAGCUAGCUCUUGGGACAUGGAAUGUCACCUCUCUGGCAGGGAAGGAGCCCGAGCUGGUGUGUGAGGCAGAGAAUUUCCGACUGGAUAUAGUCGGACUUGCCUCCACACACAGCCUGGGUUCUGGUACCAGUUCUCUCGAGAGGGGUUGGACUCUCUUCCACUCUGGAGUUGCUCACGGUGAGAGGCGCAGAGCAGGUGUGGGCAUACUCAUUGCCCCCCGCCUCAGUGCCUGUACAUUGGGGUUCACACCGGUAGACGAGAGGGUUGCCUCCCUCCGCCUUCGGGUGGGUGGACGGGUCCUGACUGUUGUUUGUGCAUAUGCACCAAACAGCAGCUCAGCAUACCCACCCUUUUUGGAGUCCUUGGAGGGUGUGCUGGAGAGUACUCCUGCUGGGGACUCCAUUGUUCUGCUGGGGGACUUCAAUGCUCACGUGGGCAAUGACAGUGAUACCUGGAGGGGCGUGAUUGGGAGGAACGGCCCCCCCGAUCAAAACCAGAGUGGUGUUUUGUUAUUGGACUUCUGUGAUCGUCACGGAUUGUCCAUAACGAACACCUUGUUCAAACAUAAGGGUGUCCAUAUGUGCACUUGGCACCAGGACACCCUAGGCCGCAGUUCGAUGAUCGACUUUGUAGUUGUAUCAUCGAAUUUGCGGCCGCAUGUUCUGGACACUCGGGUGAAGAGAGGGGCGGAGCUGUCAACUGAUCACCACCUGGUGGUGAGUAGGCUCCGAUGGUGGGGGAAGAUGCCGGUCCGUCCUGGCAGACCCAAACGUAUAGUGAGGGUUUGUUGGGAGCGUCUGGCGGAAUCCCCUGUCAGAAGGAGUUUCAACUCCCACCUCCGACAGAGCUUUUCCCAUGUUCCGGGGGAGACGGGGGACAUUGAGUCCGAGUGGACCAUGUUCCGUGCCUCUAUUGUUGAGGCGGCCAAUCUGAGUUGUGGCCGUAAGGUGGUUGGUGCCUGUCGUGGCGGCAAUCCCCGUACUCGCUGGUGGACACCAGCAGUAAGGGAUGCCGUCAAGCUGAAGAAGGAGUCCUAUCGAGCCUUUAUGGCCUGUGGGACCCCAGAGGCAGCUGACGGGUAUCGACUGGCCAA